rnacentral:rRNA from 1 species
AGUGAACGCUGGCGGUAGGCCUAACACAUGCAAGUCGAACGGCAGCACAGUAAGAGCUUGCUCUUACGGGUGGCGAGUGGCGGACGGGUGAGGAAUACAUCGGAAUCUACUUUUUCGUGGGGGAUCACGUAGGGACACUUACGCUAAUACCGCAUACGACCUACGGGUGAAAGCAGGGGAUCUUCGGACCUUGCGCGAUUGUAUGAGCCGAUGUCGGAUUAGCUAGUUGGCGGGGUAAAGGCCCACCAAGGCGACGAUCCGUAGCUGGUCUGAGAGGAUGAUCAGCCACACUGGAACUGAGACACGGUCCAGACUCCUACGGGAGGCAGCAGUGGGGAAUAUUGGACAAUGGGCGCAAGCCUGAUCCAGCCAUACCGCGUGGGUGAAGAAGGCCUUCGGGUUGUAAAGCCCUUUUGUUGGGAAAGAAAAGCAGCAGGUUAAUACCUCGCUGUUCUGACGGUACCCAAAGAAUAAGCACCGGCUAACUUCGUG